CAGCAGCCGCGGUAAUACGUAGGUGGCAAGCGUUGUCCGGAAUUAUUGGGCGUAAAGGGCUCGCAGGCGGUUUCUUAAGUCUGAUGUGAAAGCCCCCGGCUCAACCGGGGAGGGUCAUUGGAAACUGGGAAACUUGAGUGCAGAAGAGGAGUGUGGAAUUCCACGUGUAGCGGUGAAAUGCGUAGAGAUGUGGAGGAACACCAGUGGCGAAGGCGACUCUCUGGUCUGUAACUGACGCUGAGGAGCGAAAGCGUGGGGAGCGAACGGGAUUAGAUACCCGCGUAGUCCCUGUCUCUUAUAC
rnacentral:rRNA from 1 species